rnacentral:rRNA from 1 species
UACGUAGGGGGCAAGCGUUAUCCGGAAUUACUGGGUGUAAUGGGAGCGUAGACGGUAAUGUAAGUCUGGAGUGAAAGGCGGGGGCCCAACCCCAGGACUGCUCUGGAAACUAUGUUACUAGAGUGCAGGAGAGGUAAGCGGAAUUCCUAGUGUAGCGGUGAAACGCGUAGAUAUUAGGAGGAACACCAGUGGCGAAGGCGGCUUACUGGACUGUAACUGACGUUGAGGCUCGAAAGCGUGGGGAGCAAACAGG